CUUUUUUUACCUUUCUUUAUCUUACUCUCCCUCUCUUGAUAUUUUUUUCUCUAUCUUUAACCCUUUUUCUGCCUACCUGUUUCUCUAUACUUUUCUAUCUUUGUCCCUCUCCCAUUGUCAUCGUGCAAUUCGAGCACCCUCAUCCUAACAACUUCCGCUCCCCUCCUUCUCACCGAUCCCUCUUUUCCUUUUCCCUAUUCCGGUCCCGAAUCCCCCCCGCCCUCAAUUUGUGCCUGAUAUCGUUUCGACAUCCUGUCCACUAAUAAUGAUUUCUAUAUUCGUUCCUUCUUCUCAUGACUGCGUCGAUCGGCACUUUUCCGUCUCCCCAAAAAUGAACAUAGAACACUAAAUGCGAUAUGUAAUUGAAAGGAAUUUACAAGAACGGAACAAUGAAAAAUGUUAACGCUCGACAGGUAAAUGUGGAGUUGGUUCUCUAAAAGCCAUGGGGUAUGAACAGAUGUGAAACAUUAUGAGUGACGUGGCAAUGUGUUUGAGGAUCAGGAUGUGCGAUGGUGCGAGAGUAGGUGAACGUAAAUAUUGUGGUAUUGCUUGAGAAUUUGGUGCGAUUUGUAUGAAUGCCAAUCAGAGCGAACAACGAGUAUGAUGUGAGAGCGAGAGAGUGGGGAGAAGGAGUGAGAGUACUAAGAGUGAUGACAAACCUGAACUUGCGACAGUGAAUUGAGAACCGAGAAAUCUUUGAAGGUGUUGUGAGUGUGUUCAAGAGGGGCGCGAGCCACCACCACCACCACCACCAACACCACCACGGCCGUACUACAACCGUACACGACAGAACCUCUUACUUAGGUGUUCUGUUACCUUACUUUAUCCCGGAGCCACGGUCUACGGGGUGACCGGAUUGAGACCCGACACCCGACUCGCCGACAGGUGGCCGAUCCGAGGACGCGAAUACCAUUCCGAUUUACCUGGCUCGAACAGGAGGCCCGAGCCGAUCGUUACCACUCCUGCAUGCGAUUUUACUAGGUUAGGCGAUCGCUAUACGUCAAUGUAAACACUUCGUUAUUUCAUUCAGGACUGAAACUUGGUUGUUUGAACGAAUUAAAGACAUUCGAGUGUUCGGAUAGUAGAGAUAUUUAAUUAACUGCUGCGUCGCUAAAGCGAAUCGUUAACAAUUAAUUUAUUAGUUUGUAUUUCUGAAUUUCGAGAGACAUGUCUAGUAAACGAUUUUCAUCAAUGUUAUUUAUUGUUACGUAAUAUUACAUGACAUUAUUACAAUUACAUAAAUUAUUAGAAUUAA